rnacentral:rRNA from 1 species
CCUACGGGCGGCAGCAGUCGAGAAUCAUUCACAAUGGGGGAAACCCUGAUGGUGCGACGCCGCGUGGGGGAAUGAAGGUCUUCGGAUUGUAAACCCCUGUCAUGUGGGAGCAAAUUAAAAAGAUAGUACCACAAGAGGAAGAGACGGCUAACUCUGUGCCAGCAGCUGCGGUAAUACAGAGGGCUCAAGCGUUGUUCGGAAUCACUGGGCGUAAAGGGUGCGUAGGCUGUUUCGUAAGUCGUGUGUGAAAGGCGCGGGCUCAACCCGCGGACGGCACAUGAUACUGCGAGACUAGAGUAAUGGAGAGGGAGCCGGAAUUCGCGGUGUAGCAGUGAAAUGCGUAGAUAUCGAGAGGAACACUCGUGGCGAAGGCAGGUUCCUGGACAUUAACUGACGCUGAGGCACGAAGGCCAGGGGAGCGAAAGGGAUUAGAUACCCGGGUAGUC